rnacentral:lncRNA from 1 species
AGAGGGGGUUAAGGUGAAUCUGGGGUGUAAGUUUGGUUGGGUUUAGAGCCGGCACCGCCUUGGGUGGCGAAGCAGUCGGGAGUUCAAAUCAAGAUUCGAGAACUUUGGUUGACAUUCGAGGGAUACUGAUAGCAGGGAUGGAAAGAGGAGGUAGGGUGGUGUUUUUUUUGGGAGCCAACGGAGCAUCACUGCCGGCGGAGGCGAUUUCCGGCCGGCAGCGGACGGGAGAAGGUGGUGGCAUUACGCUGGCGUGCAUUAAGGGUUCUGAG